rnacentral:rRNA from 1 species
GACGAACGCUGGCGGCGUGCUUAACACAUGCAAGUCGAACGGAAAGGCCCUGCUUGCAGGGUCCUCGAGUGGCGAACGGGUGAGUAACACGUGGGUGAUCUGCCCUGCACUUCGGGAUAAGCCUGGGAAACUGGGUCUAAUACCGGAUAGGAGCCAUUUUUAGUGUGAUGGUUGGAAAGUUUUUUCGGUGUAGGAUGAGCUCGCGGCCUAUCAGCUUGUUGGUGGGGUAAUGGCCUACCAAGGCGGCGACGGGUAGCCGGCCUGAGAGGGUGGACGGCCACAUUGGGACUGAGAUACGGCCCAGGCUCCUACGGGAGGCAGCAGUGGGGAAUAUUGCACAAUGGGCGCAAGCCUGAUGCAGCGGCGCCGCGGGGGGGAUGACGGCCUUCGGGUUGGAAACUCCUUUCGCUAGAGACGAAGCUUUUUGUGACGGUACCUAGAGAAGAAGCACCGGCUAACUACGUG